UGAGGGAGACACGUGGUACCUCACAAUGUAUCAUCAUAUCCAUUGCAUGCUUAGCCUUAACAUUAUCAAAAAUUGAUCUAAAGGACUUUCUUUGGUUGUAACUUGGCUUUCGGAUAAGGUUAGAAAAGGAUGGCAAGGGGUUCAAACGACACUUGAAGUGGGGGUGGGACUUACAACUUUUGGAAUCGACUAAAACAACACAUUAACUCAUGCCCCAGUUUUUGUUGACUG
rnacentral:lncRNA from 1 species